rnacentral:tRNA from 1 species
GGUCGGUUGGCUCAGUGGUUAUAGCGUGGGUCUUGUAACCGAAAGGUCGCGGGAUCGAGUCCCGCUAGAGGCUG